GCAGUCGACGCUUUUUCUUUCCCGGAGCUUGCUCCAUCGAAAGAAAAAGAGUGGCGAACGGGUGAGUAACACGUGGGUAACCUGCCCAUCAGAAGGGGAUAACACUUAGAAACAGGUGCUAAUACCGUAUAACACUAUUUUCCGCAUGGAAGAAAGUUGAAAGGCGCUUUUGCGUCACUGAUGGAUGGACCCGCGGUGCAUUAGCUAGUUGGUGAGGUAACGGCUCACCAAGGCAACGAUGCAUAGCCGACCUGAGAGGGUGAUCGGCCACACUGGGACUGAGACACGGCCCAGACUCCUACGGGAGGCAGCAGUAGGGAAUCUUCGGCAAUGGACGAAAGUCUGACCGAGCAACGCCGCGUGAGUGAAGAAGGUUUUCGGAUCGUAAAACUCUGUUGUUAGAGAAGAACAAGGAUGAGAGUGAAAUGUUCAUCCCUUGACGGUAUCUAACCAGAAAGCCACGGCUAACAACGUGCCAGCAGCCGCGGUAAUACGUAGGUGGCAAGCGUUGUCCGGAUUUAUUGGGCGUAAAGCGAGCGCAGGCGGUUUCUUAAGUCUGAUGUGAAAGCCCCCGGCUCAACCGGGGAGGGUCAUUGGAAACUGGGAGACUUGAGUGCAGAAGAGGAGAGUGGAAUUCCAUGUGUAGCGGUGAAAUGCGUAGAUAUAUGGAGGACACCAGUGGCGAAGCGGCUCUCGGUCUGUACUGACGCUGAGCUCGAAGCGUGGGAGCGACAGGAU
rnacentral:rRNA from 1 species